GUCCACGCUGUAAACGAUGACGACUAGGUGUGGGGGGGUUCAGUCCCCUCCGUGCCGCAGCUAACGCAUUAAGUCGUCCGCCUGGGGAGUACGGCCGCAAGGUUGAAACUCAAAGGAAUUGACGGGGGCCCGCACAAGCGGUGGAGCAUGUGGUUCAAUUCGAUGCAGAGCGAAGAACCUUACCUGGGCUUGACAUGCAGGAAGUAGAAGCCGGAAACGGUGACGACCUGUUAAGUCAGGAACCUGCACAGGUGGUGCAUGGCUGUCGU
rnacentral:rRNA from 1 species